GUUUUACUCACUGAAGCUUCAGGAAACCAUAUCUCUCUCUCUCUUUCUCUUUACUCUAAUCAGUUUAGGACCAGAUGACUUGCUGUCCUGCUGUAGUUUUGCUGGCAGAAUUGAGUACAGACUCUGGAUCACGUGACUUUACCAGGUUCCAGGAAGCAGUAUCAAGAGUCGGUAUCCUCUUCCAUGCUUGAAAUCAGUCGCCACAGCUGUGUCUAGGACACUGUUACACCUGUUGACCGGGGAAUGAACUCGAUCAAGUGUUGCCAUCAUUGCCAUAGUGACCGCCCAGCGCUGCCCCUGGCGUGCAGAAUUUCACCACAGAAACUUGACUUCCCAGGAAACAGACAGAAAAGCGGACAUCAAGAAUCUAUAUUUGAUCAGGAAGUGGUAACAGCUGCUUUGCUUGCAUCUUUUUAAAUGGUAUGGACGGUGGGAAGAUGCUGAGUGUUUGUUUUACUGUGUGAUCACUCACAUUUUACUCAGUAUGUGUUUGUAAUCUCCAACUGUGAGGAGACUCAUCUGAAUUUGCUUGGUUAGCUAUGGCAUAUAAUAAAAGCAAUCUAAAAGAGGACAUUUUUCUCCCUCCAACAUGAAUCUUAAUAUUGAUCAGCAUGCUUGUUAGUGGUAA